AAGGUACUCCCUCCGUUCCAAAAUAGAUGACCCAACUUUGUACUAACUUGGUACAAAGUUGGGUCAUCUAUUUUGGAACGGAGGGAGUAGCUU
rnacentral:pre_miRNA from 1 species